UCAAACUUGGUCAUUUAGAGGAAGUAAAAGUCGUAACAAGGUCUCCGUUGGUGAACCAGCGGAGGGAUCAUUACCGAGUUUACAGCUCCCAAACCCAAUGUGAACCUUUACCAGACCGUUGCCUCGGCGGGGUCACGCCCCGGGCGCGUCGCAGCCCCGGAACCAGGCGCCCGCCGCGGGGACCAACCAAACCCCUAACCUCAGCCCCCCGCGGGCGUGAAUUCCUAUGGCCUCUGAGCGAAAAAAAAAAAUUCAAAAUGAAUCAAAACUUUCAACAACGGAUCUCUUGGCUCUGGCAUCGAUGAAGAACGCAGC
rnacentral:misc_RNA from 1 species